rnacentral:lncRNA from 1 species
CGCUCUCCCGCCGAGAGGCUCCGAGCCCGGCCGCGCUCGCCGGUCCCGCCUCUACCCAGCAAUGUGAAGAGUCAGCAAGUUCCCAGCGGCCGCUGAAACCCUCUGCGUCUCCGGGGUCCGUAGUGCGCCGGCGCAGCCUGGCCGGGGCGGCGCGGAGCAUGCUGGGAGCUGUAGUUCUAGCGCCKCUGCGUCCCGCCCGCGGCGCCUGGCCCGGCGCCGGCAGCUGCACUACGACUCCCGGUAUCCCCCGCGCCGCGCCGCGAGGAGCCGAGUUGAAGCGGGUGGCGGCGGAGCGCACCCCCUCCCCCCCGCCAAAAAGCCCCAAACCAAAACAAAAACAAACCACCCCCCCCCCUCAAAACCCCGGAAAUGGCGGUGCCGGGAGGGGGCUGCGAGUGCCGGGGGUGCUGAUCCGGCCGCCCGCUGCCGCGUCCCCCCCCCUUCCCCGUCCCUCCCCGCCCAUGGGCGAGACAUGGACUACGAGUUCAAAUCCAAGCUGGCGGCCGAGCGCGAGCGGGUGGAGGAUCUGUUCGAGUACGAGGGCUGCAAAGUGGGCAGAGGCACCUACGGGCACGUCUACAAGGCCCGCCGCAAGGACGGGAAAGAUGAAAAGGAAUAUGCACUGAAGCAAAUUGAAGGUACAGGGAUAUCCAUGUCGGCCUGUAGAGAGAUUGCAGUAAGUGUACAUAAAUGAAAGAAAGUGUUUUUACUGACAUUAUAAUUCAACAGAUAAUAUAUUUUUAUUCUCUGAAUUAAAUAACGCAAAGCUUAUCUAAAUGUUUUCCUUGAAGUAUGCAAGCGUGAAAGUUAUUCAAACAUGAGCUUUCCUUAAA